AUUGAACGCUGGCGGCAUGCUUUACACAUGCCAGUCGAACGGCAGCGCGGGCUUCGGCCUGGCGGCGAGUGGCGAACGGGUGAGUAAUGCAUCGGAACGUGCCCAGUAGUGGGGGAUAGCCCGGCGAAAGCCGGAUUAAUACCGCAUACGACCUGAGGGUGAAAGCGGGGGACCGAAAGGCCUCGCGCUCUUGGAGCGGCCGAUGUCGGAUUAGCUAGUUGGUGGGGUAAAGGCUUACCAAGGCGACGAUCCGUAGCUGGUCUGAGAGGACGACCAGCCACACUGGGACUGAGACACGGCCCAGACUCCUACGGGAGGCAGCAGUGGGGAAUUUUGGACAAUGGGGGCAACCCUGAUCCAGCCAUGCCGCGUGCGGGAAGAAGGCCUUCGGGUUGUAAACCGCUGUUGUUCGGGAAGAAAUCCUCUGGGCUAAUACCCCGGGGGGAUGACGGUACCGGAAGAAUAAGCACCGGCUAACUACGUG
rnacentral:rRNA from 1 species